rnacentral:rRNA from 1 species
UACGAAGGGGGCUAGCGUCGCUCGGAAUCACUGGGCGUAAAGCGCACGUAGGCGGCUUUUUAAGUCAGGGGUGAAAUCCUGGAGCUCAACUCCAGAACUGCCUUUGAUACUGAGAAGCUUGAGUUCGGGAGAGGUGAGUGGAACUGCGAGUGUAGAGGUGAAAUUCGUAGAUAUUCGCAAGAACACCAGUGGCGAAGGCGGCUCACUGGCCCGAUACUGACGCUGAGGUGCGAAAGCGUGGGGAGCAAACAGG